rnacentral:rRNA from 1 species
UGGGGAAUAUUGCACAAUGGGCGCAAGCCUGAUGCAGCCAUGCCGCGUGUGUGAAGAAGGCCUUCGGGUUGUAAAGCACUUUCAGCGGGGAGGAAGGCGUUAAGGUUAAUAACCUUGUCGAUUGACGUUACCCGCAGAAGAAGCACCGGCUAACUCCGUGCCAGCAGCCGCGGUAAUACGGAGGGUGCAAGCGUUAAUCGGAAUUACUGGGCGUAAAGCGCACGCAGGCGGUCUGUCAAGUCGGAUGUGAAAUCCCCGGGCUCAACCUGGGAACUGCAUUCGAAACUGGCAGGCUAGAGUCUUGUAGAGGGAGGUAGAAUUCAGGGUGUAGCGGUGAAAUGCGUAGAGAUCUGGAGGAAUACCGGUGGCGAAGGCGGCCCCCUGGACAAAGACUGACGCUCAGGUGCGAAAGCGUGGGGAGCAAACAGG